GUAGGGUGCGAGCGUUAAUCGGAAUUACUGGGCGUAAAGCGUGCGCAGGCGGUUUUGUAAGACAGAUGUGAAAUCCCCGGGCUCAACCUGGGACCUGCAUUUGUGACUGCAAGGCUAGAGUACGGUAGAGGGGGAUGGAAUUCCGCGUGUAGCAGUGAAAUGCGUAGAUAUGCGGAGGAACACCGAUGGCGAAGGCAAUCCCCUGGACCUGUACUGACGCUCAUGCACGAAAGCGUGGGGAGCAAACAGGAUUAGAUACCCUGGUAGUCCACGCCCUAAACGAUGUCAACUGGUUGUUGGGUCUUUACUGACUCAGUAACGAAGCUAACGCGUGAAGUUGACCGCCUGGGGGAGGUAGUCGGCCGACGUAAGGUUAG
rnacentral:rRNA from 1 species